AAAAAAAGAAGGGCCGGUUUCCUCACAGCGGUCACCGGUCACCGACCUUCGGUCGGAUUUCGAUUUAUGCAACCAUUAUGGCUGAGUAGGGUUCCGAUCAAGUUCUCGCAAAUUCCGCAUGGUGCCUGAAAUAUGGACAACGCUGCUCGAAUUUGGUCGGAAUUCAAGAAUAGUGGCAGCUUAGAGUGGAUUUUACUAGAUGAAAAUCCAUUUGAAACAAGAAUCACAUAACAAUAUGUUUACUUGAACAUUCAUUGGAUAAAUGCCGACGACGAUGAUAGUGGUUGUAUCGGUGGCAGCGAUGGUAGUUACUGGUAAUACCUAUGACGGUAACAGGUUUGAGACGAAUGGAGGCGACGGUAAAAGUUAUGAUGGAUUUAGUUGAUGACGGUGGUUUAGAUCGACUCCGACGUGUUUUCAGCCUAUCAUCGAGAUGGUGAACGCGAGUCAAACAUCGGGUCAAAGCCGGAUUCAACAUGGUCAACAAAAGUUAACUCGGGUCAACCGAGUCAACUCAGUUAAAGCUGAUCAACAUGGUCAGACUGAAAAUCGAGUACCCGCGGGAAUGCCGACAUUGGGAUGGCCCAUGGUAAAAGGUUUUUGGGCUGUGGAGGUGGUGAGGAUAGGUUUUCGAGCCCAACAUUUGGAAAUGUCUAAACCAUGAAUUUGAAGUUUAAGCAGUUCAGAGAACAACUUAAAUCCACCAGCAGAUUUUUCCUAGGAUUAAACAAAGUUAUGCAAGUUACUUUAGGUCGAUCUGAAUCCGAUGAGAUGAGGCCAGGGCUUCACAAGGUUUCUAAGAAUAUUUAACGAGUAUGAAGAUUACGACUAUGCUAAGACUGGUAAUAUUGCUACAGAAACGGUGGUAGUUAUAUGCUAGGACUGCAUUAUAUUUGUUUACAUGCCCUUUUAAAUCUCUACCAACAGCCACAUUAUCAAUCUUAGUGACUCGGUUAAUUCGACUAAUGUGUCUUUAUCUAAUCAAGACAUAGUUGAAGUUAGGGCAGUUUGUGUAUAUUGAUAAGUUUGAGUUUGAUUGACCGGUACCGCAUGUAAGUGGAGUGCGUCUGCUUGCUGGACGCCGUCCGUUAUCCGUUUGUAGAGUUUGUUGUUUAUAUAUUCCAGUUGAUAAAAUCGGGCUAGAUUGUGAAUAUAUCGUGUUGCUGCUAUUGAUUUUUAAUGUUGUUGAUUACCAGAUUCAAGCAACUGUGUUGUUUAUGUUUAGUUAUUUAGUUGUUCCCAAU
rnacentral:lncRNA from 1 species